CUUGGUCAUUUAGAGGAAGUAAAAGUCAUAACAAGGUUUCCGUAGGUGAACCUGCGGAAGGAUCAUUAAUAAUGCUCUCUGGCUUCGGUCAGUUGAGUUCAAUGAGUGCCUUCUCUUCGGAGUUGGCCAUCCAUACACACCGUGAACUGUGGCUUCGGCCAUCACAAACUGUUAGUAAUGAAUGUAAUAUCAUAACAAAAACAAAACUUUUAACAACGGAUCUCUUGGCUCUCGCAUCGAUGAAGAACGCAGCGAAAUGCGAUAAGUAAUGUGAAUUGCAGAAUUCAGUGAAUCAUCGAAUCUUUGAACGCACCUUGCGCCCUUUGGUAUUCCGAAGGGCAUGCCUGUUUGAGUGUCAUGAAACCUCACCCCACUUGGGUUUUUGCCUGAGCGGUGGUGUAUUGGGUGUUGCCUUGCCAAAGGCUCGCCUUAAAAACAUAAGCACCUUGGAUGUAAUACGUUUCAUCCUUCUGGGUGGCUGAUAACCCCACAUAUUCAUGAUCUGGCCUCAAAUCAGGUAGGGCUACCCGCUGAACUUAAGCAUAUCAAUAAGCGGAGGA
rnacentral:rRNA from 2 species